UACGAAGGGGGCUAGCGUUGCUCGGAAUCACUGGGCGUAAAGGGUGCGUAGGCGGGGCUUUAAGUCAGGGGUGAAAUCCUGGAGCUCAACUCCAGAACUGCCUUUGAUACUGAAGAUCUUGAGUUCGGGAGAGGUGAGUGGAACUGCGAGUGUAGAGGUGAAAUUCGUAGAUAUUCGCAAGAACACCGGUGGCGAAGGCGGCAUCCUGGACCGAUACUGACGCUGAGGAGCGAAAGCCAGGGGAGCAAACGGG
rnacentral:rRNA from 1 species